GUACUGUGUCUUUUUACUUGAUAAUGUCAUUUUGAGUUUAAGGUUUGUAACAUAGUAGGAAGAGAACAUGCUUGGACUCUGCAACACUCACUGUGAUGGUCCGAAUACCUAUUUCUGCUCACACUGGAUCCAAUGACCUUUUGGGACUACACUGGGUCCUGUCUCAUGGAAUGAUAAUGUUCUGGCAUGAAGAGCAGAAAUGAAUACAACUAUGACCAUUUACAAGUCACUAUAUUCAUCAUGAUGGCAGAGGAUGUGUUUGAAAAACUCAUUAAAGGUACCAGCCCGUUGGAUGAGAAGAAACAACCAGACCCUCCUCCAAAAACAGGGCCUGAGGAAGAAUCUCUAUGC
ensembl:lncRNA